rnacentral:tRNA from 1 species
GGGGGUAGAUGAGUCCUGGUGGGCUCUCCGGUCUUCAAAACCGUGCAUGUGGGGUUUGUAGCUUCAUAGGUGUGUUCGAUUCGCACAUACUCCC